rnacentral:rRNA from 1 species
UACGAAGGGGGCUAGCGUUGUUCGGAAUUACUGGGCGUAAAGCGCACGUAGGCGGGGAAUUAAGUGAGAGGUGAAAGGCUGGGGCUCAACCUCAUGCAGUGCCUCUCAUACUGGUUCUCUUGAGGGCGGUAGGGAGAAGUGGAAUGGCUGGUGUAGCGGUGAAAUGCGUAGAUAUCAGUCGGAACACCAGUGGCGAAGGCGGCUCACUGGCCCGAUACUGACGCUGAGGCACGAAAGCGUGGGGAGCAAACAGG